GGAGCUGUGACUCAAAUGGUAGAGUGCUUGCCUCACAUGUAUAAGGCCCUGGGUUCUAUUCCUCAGCACCA
rnacentral:tRNA from 1 species